ACUGGUGCUCAGCGCUGUGCUUCAACGUCUGGAAAUGGGCAUUCCUUUAUAGCAGCAGCAGCACCCCACUUGGCGUUCAAUGAUUUUGCAACUUGAUGAGAAACGACACAUCCAUCAGUUUAGUGGACAUUAUUAAAGGGUACCCAGACAACUGAAGUCGGUCAAUGCAUGCUGCAGGCACAAGUGGCCACGCGAUGUCGGCGACGGGAUUGAAGUUGGUCAAGGCGUUCCAACCGGGCCACAAGCAAUGCUUCAGUCCAAGUGAGAGCAGUCUUCGUCAAUGAUCGGAACUCUGCUACCAGUGGAUGACAACAAGACAGAAAAAGUUUUUGCUUUCGGAAACGAACACUGAAAAAUUCAGACCUCAUGGCAAGGGGCAACGAAGUCCAAAUCACAGUAUUUUAUUGA